AUGGGUAUGUUACUUGGCUGCUGGAAAGGUCAUGUUACUGAAGACAAAGCAGAUACCUGUUACCACUAUUUUAAUGGUUUGAUGAUUCAGAGGCUAACAUUUUAUUCUGUGUGCACCAAUUUUUGCAGGACAGCAAUCAUGUGGGAAACAGCAUAAUUUAAUUUCAUUAGAUUUUGGAAAAGAAAGAGCUGGAGAAGUAGGCAAAGCCUACCCAUAGAAGAAUGUUCUGGAUUUUAGAAUAAUGAACACAAUGCGGGGGAUUCAGAUAUGCUUAUUUGCAAAAUAUCUUAUAUUUCAGCCUGUAGCUUUUUGUUUUCAGAACAAAGCUUUUCUUUUAAAAAGAAAACUAUGGUUAACAU
rnacentral:lncRNA from 1 species